rnacentral:lncRNA from 1 species
CGCGGAGCGAGAAGGAAGGGGGGGGUCCGCUCCCGGCUCAGCUCCGGAGCCCCCCCGGCUCCGUAACCCCAAUCUUGCCGCCCCCCCCACCCUCCUGGAGAGGGAAGGAGUGCGCGUUAGGAGGGUCUGCGGGUGUCCGUGUGGGGGGAGAUGGGAGCUGCGAGUGUUUUGCACGGGAUUUUUAGAGAUGUUGACGGUUAUAAAUGUUAAACAAAUCUGACCGGUUGGACCCGGUGCCGUACAAUUCCAUCUGCACAAAAAUACAGGUUACAAACAAAGGGAAGCAUCAGCAUUAAAAGAAAAGGGAGACAACAACAACAAAAAAAAAAAAAAAAAGGAGGAGGAAAGCAAACGAACAAAAACCCCGAACCGAACCCAACGCGACGUCCUCAGCUCCACGCAGCGCCGAUCCCGUGAAGUUGGAGCGGGCAGAAACACGCACACGGGGGGGGGGACGACGACCAGAAAACCCACCUUUUUACAACAAAAGGUUUUUCUUUCCGAAAAGGGAAAAAUAGAAGAAACGCUCUUAGGAAACGAACGGGACUGCGGGAGCCGAACCUCCUCCCAAAGCACGCCGGGUUUGCGGGGUUGGAAGGCCGACGCCAGAAGAGUUGAAGUUAAGGAAAGCAGCGGGGAGGGGGCGGCCCCGCUUUUCGCUCCCCCCGCUCGUGUGACCCCCAUAACCCCGCAGCAGCGCCGGGGAGGGGUUGAAGUCACACCGCACGCGUUUCUAUGGGGGAAGGGGGGGGAAGAAAACAAAGUUGAAAUGUUUUCAUUUCUACCUCUUUUCUUUUUUUCCUCCCCGUACAUCGCAAAGAGGCGCACAAAGCGGAGCUGCCGGGGGGUCCCGGAGUGGCCCCCGCCGCCGCCCGGCUCUCACGUGGCCCCGCGGCCGCCCCGGGCGGACACAAAGAGGAUUCGUCGUGGAGGUGUUUCGGGGGGUGCCAUUUUUCUGGUUGGUUUUUAAUUAUGAUCUCUUCCCCCCCCCCCCCCCCCCUCCCGGUUUGUUUGCUUAAUUAUUAUUAAUUUGUUUUUUUUUCCCUCUCUCUCUCUCUGCAAAAAUAAACUCCCAACAUCUUAGAUUUUGUUUCUUUAUUGUACAAUUUAUAAAACAUCGCGCUGCCCUCCCGCCCCCCCCCACCCCCCCGCG